GAUAAACGCUGGCGGCGCACAUAAGACAUGCAAGUCGAACGAAAGUCGUCUUAACUAUGAUUGAGAAAAGGAUGAAGAUUUAUCUGAAUUUGGAUUGAUAGAAUAGAUAAGACAUAUGGCUUUAGUGGCGGACUGGUGAGUAACACGUAAGCAAUCUACCUAUUAGAGGGGAAUAACAAUGAGAAAUCAUUGCUAAUACCGCAUAUGCCAUAGAAAUCGCAUGAUUUUAGUGGGAAAGGAGAAAUCCGCUAAUAGAUGAGCUUGCGCCUGAUUAGUUAGUUGGUGGGGUAAUGGCUUACCAAGACAGCGAUCAGUAGCCGGACUGAGAGGUUGAACGGCCACAUUGGGACUGAGAUACGGCCCAGACUCCUACGGGAGGCAGCAGUCGGGAAUAUUGCGCAAUGGAGGGAACUCUGACGCAGUGACGCCGCGUAUAGGAAGAAGGUUUUCGGAUUGUAAACUAUUGUCUAGAGGGAAGAAAAAAAUGACGGUACCUCUAAAGAAAGCUCCGGCUAACUACGUGCCAGCAGCCGCAGUA
rnacentral:rRNA from 1 species